UUUUUACCUUGUGAAUUUAUUAUAAGGAACUAGGCAAAAUUGAUUUCCGCCUGUUUAUCAAAAACAUGUCCUCUUGNAAAAUAUUUUGAGGUCUGGCCUGCUCGCUGAGCUUNNNAAUUUUGAAGAGCCGCGGUAUUUUGACCGUGCAAAGGUAGCAUAAUCAUUAGUCUCUUAAUUGGUGGCUGGAAUGAAUGGCUUGACGAGAAAUCAACUGUCUCUUAAUAAUUUUUAGAAUUUAACUUUUAAGUCAAAAGGCUUAAAUUUAUCUUUAGGACGAGAAGACCCUAUAGAGCUUAACAUUUUAUUUUUAUAUAGUUUUUUGUUGGUCUUUCUAUAUUGAAUGAUGAUGUUUUGUUGGGGUGACAUGAAGAAUAAAUAAACUCUUCAUUAUUAUAUCAUUGAUUUAUGUUUGUUAUUUUGAUCCAUAAUUUAUGAUCAUAAGAUUAAGUUACCUUAGGGAUAACAGCGUAAUUGUUUUUGAGAGCUCAUAUCGACAAAGCAGAUUGCGACCUCGAUGUUGGAUUAAGAAAAAUUUUGGGUGCAGUAGCCCAGUGAUUAGGUCUGUUCGACCUUUAAAUUCUUACAUGAUCUGAGUUCAGACCGGCGUGAGCCAGGUCGGUUUCUAUCCUAAGAUUNAUUUAUCCAUAUUAGUACGAAAGGACCAUAUGGUUAAAACANNUUUUUUAUCUUAUNUGAUUAAUAUUAAUUU
rnacentral:rRNA from 1 species